UAAGACGAACCAAGCAAACGUUGUUCGGAAUCACUGGGCUUAAAGGGCGCGUAGGCGGUCUCGCAAGUCCGGGGUGAAAUCUUUCGGCUCAACCGGAAAAUUGCCUUGGAUACUGCGAGGCUCGAGGGAGGUAGGGGUCACGGGAACAUCCAGUGGAGCGGUGAAAUGCGUUGAUAUUGGAUGGAACGCCGGUGGCGAAAGCGCGUGACUGGACCUCUUCUGACGCUGAGGCGCGAAAGCCAGGGUAGCGAACGGGAUUAGAUACCCCGGUAGUCCUGGCCCUAAACGAUGAGCACUAGAUUGGGAGAGUGACAUGCUCCCCCAAUCGAAGCUAAAGUGUUAAGUGCUCCGCCUGGGGAGUAUGGUCGCAAGGCUG
rnacentral:rRNA from 1 species